AUGGACUUGUUCAAGGUCUCCCGACAGGCUUCAGGGGGAUGGUCAGCAGUCAGAGUGAAGCCUCCUGUGUCCCGUCAUGUUCACUGGCAUCCCGUGGGCUCAGAGGCAUGGAGGAGAAGCAAGGAAGAAGACGAAAGGAAUGACAGGCGGGGAAAAAGAGGAGGGAGGAGAGAAAGGAAGAACCACAUGGGAAAUGGAGAGCUCCAUAGACCCCUGGCAGUGGCCCAGUGUUACCCCGUCAACAUCUGUGGUGUGUUUUAUCGCGUGGAGCAUCCGAGGCCAUUUAGACAAAAGAACUGGGGAAUCAAAGCCCCGAAGAAUCCAAUUAGAAGAGGAAGCUCUACUUCCCAUGCGCAUCUAAGGAGACCCAUUUUCCAGUCAAUGUCAUUACCGUCGCUCAGUGGGGGAGCAUCCUUCUCUGAACGUCUCCUGCACUAGGACCUUCUGAUGAUGAUGGUGUAAGGAAAAAUCCAGCAGAUGAGCACACCGGAGGAUAAGGAGAACCCCGCACCGUGACAUGUCCAAUGAACUGUUUAAUUGGAAAGGAUUUUAUGGGAGACAGCGGCUGCCCUCCCGGCUCUCCAGCUAUGAUGGGAAGUUAUGGAGUGUCGAUCACAUCCACUCUGCCCACAACCCAGUGGCAGAAUGAAAUCAUAUAAAUGCAAAUUGCGCUGUAAUUAAAGAGGAAAGAGGCAAGAAGCAACAACAUUUAGCUGAGCAUGGCCUUCGGAGUCCUCGCCUGCCUCUGAUAGUCCAGCAGGCUGCUAGCACUGGCUCUGAAUUCCUCCUCUCGCACCAGUGAUGGGGGCACGAGGCUCAGGAUGGGGGUGGCAGGGGUGGCUUUGAGGGAGCCUGCUCCCCGUCAUUUACACACACAGGCACCUGGAGCAGGGGGAAGAUGGAUGGGAGGCCGAGCUCUGAGACACCCCCUGCCAGCUCCUGCUUCUCCCCACCCCUGUCUGUGACCCCCCUCCAGGGCCCCAGCACUGGGCUGUGAUGGAAAGAAGGAACAGGAGUGUUUUCACUGGCGGCAAUCACACCUAUGUUUUCAGGUUAAUUUUUACAAGUAGUUCUCAGAUUCAAUUCCAAAAUAAUAAAAUAAAUCAACAAGUGAAAGCCUUCCCA
rnacentral:lncRNA from 1 species